AUUGAACGCUGGCGGCAUGCUUUACACAUGCAAGUCGAACGGUAACAGGCCGCAAGGUGCUGACGAGUGGCGAACGGGUGAGUAAUGCAUCGGAACGUGCCCAGUCGUGGGGGAUAACGCAGCGAAAGCUGUGCUAAUACCGCAUACGAUCUAUGGAUGAAAGCGGGGGACCGUAAGGCCUCGCGCGAUUGGAGCGGCCGAUGUCAGAUUAGGCAGUUGGUGGGGUAAAGGCUCACCAAGCCAACGAUCUGUAGCUGGUCUGAGAGGACGACCAGCCACACUGGGACUGAGACACGGCCCAGACUCAUACGGGAGGCAGCAGUGGGGAAUUUUGGACAAUGGGCGCAAGCCUGAUCCAGCAAUGCCGCGUGCAGGAAGAAGGCCUUCGGGUUGUAAACUGCUUUUGUACGGAACGAAACGGUCUGGGUUAAUACCCUGGGCUAAUGACGGUACCGUAAGAAUAAGCACCGGCUAACUACGUGCCAGCCGCCGCCGUAACAC
rnacentral:rRNA from 1 species